rfam:Astyanax mexicanus chromosome 21, whole genome shotgun sequence.
GGACUGGUUAAUCUCUGCAGGCAACUGUGAUAGUGAUGUUAUAUCUCACAUUCACCUGGAGAGAUUGUGCAGUCG